rnacentral:rRNA from 1 species
AGCAGCCGCGGUAAUUCCAGCUCCAAUAGCGUAUAUUAAAGUUGUUGCAGUUAAAAAGCUCGUAGUUGAAUUUCGGGGUUAGCAGGUCGGUCGUGCCAUCGGUAUGAACUGGUCUCGCUGAUCCCUCCCUCUUGACGAACUGUGAUGCCAUUAAUUUGGUGUCGCAGGGAAUCAGGACUGUUACUUUGAAAAAUUAGAGUGUUUAAAGCAGGCUCACGCUUGAAUACAUUAGCAUGGAAUAAUGAAAUAGGACGUUUGAUCCUAUUUUGUUGGCUUCUAGGAUUGACGUAAUGAUUAAUAGGGAUAGUUGGGGGCAUUAGUAUUCAAUUGUCAGAGGUGAAAUUCUUGGAUUUAUUGAAGACUAACUACCGCGAAAGCAUUUGCCAAGGAUGUUUUCAUUAAUCAAGAACGAAAGUUAGGGGAUCGAAGACGAUCAGAUACCGUCGUAGUCUUAACCAUAAACUAUGCCGACUAGGGAUCGGAUGAUGUUAAUUUUUUAAUGACUCAUUC